UGGUGGGAACUAUAAGGAGACUGUCGGCGAUAAACCGGAGGAAGGCGGGGACUACGUCAAGUCUUCAUGGCCCUUACGACCAGGGCUACACACGUGCUACAAUGGGAAGGACAAAGAGCCGCGAAGCCGCGAGGUGUAGCUAAUCUCAUAAAUCUUUUCGUAGUCCGGAUUGGGGUCUGCAACUCGACUCCAUGAAGUCGGAAUCGCUAGUAAUCGUAGAUCAGAAUGCUACGGUGAAUACGUUCCCGGGUCUUGUACACACCGCCCGUCAUACCAUGGGAGUGGGUUGCACCAGAAGUGGCUAUGUCUAACUUUGUGAGGACGGUCACCACGGUGUGAUUCAUGACUGGGGUAAAGUCGUAACAAGGU
rnacentral:rRNA from 1 species